GGAGAAGGGAAAUCUUGGGGUGCCUCAGUUACCAAGACAAGGGUGUUCAUUUCACAGCUUUCGUACCAAUACGUACAAACUCAGUUUUAUGGAGAGUCCAUCUGGUAUAAAGAUCAUUCUCGUCACUCAUCCCAGGACUGGUGAUCUAAGGGAUUCCCUGAAGUAUAUUUACAAUUUGUAAGUUGAAUAGGUUGUCAAGAAUCCACUCUAUAGUCCAGGAACUCCAAUCAGGUGAGUGAUAUAUAUUUUCUAUCUUAUUUUUAUCAUUGUGAAACACUUAUAUGAUGACCUAUUAGCUAAGGGUUUUAAAUGCUGCAUGACACCUCGGAGAUUUUCUAUGUAGAAGUUAAUUUGAUUGGGCUGUUGUCCCUGACGGGUGCCUUCUACCAUUUUGGAGAAUAGUUUUUGAGCAAAAUAUAACCAAAUAGAGAAAAUAUUGCAAGGAUUAAUUUAUUCAAUCUAAAACAAGUUUCAUUACUGACUAGAUUUAACCUGCUCACAUUUUUUACCAUGCAUUCAUUGGUCUUUUCUAGCUUGACACACAUAAAUAACACUCCUUUGUAAAU